AGUGAACGCUGGCGGUAGGCCUAACACAUGCAAGUCGAACGGCAGCACAGAGGAGCUUGCUCCUUGGGUGGCGAGUGGCGGACGGGUGAGGAAUACAUCGGAAUCUACUCUGUCGUGGGGGAUAACGUAGGGAAACUUACGCUAAUACCGCAUACGACCUACGGGUGAAAGCAGGGGAUCUUCGGACCUUGCGCGAUUGAAUGAGCCGAUGUCGGAUUAGCUAGUUGGCGGGGUAAAGGCCCACCAAGGCGACGAUCCGUAGCUGGUCUGAGAGGAUGAUCCGCCACACUGGAACUGAGACACGGUCCAGACUCCUACGGGAGGCAGCAGUGGGGAAUAUUGGACAAUGGGCGCAAGCCUGAUCCAGCCAUACCGCGUGGGUGAAGAAGGCCUUCGGGUUGUAAAGCCCUUUUGUUGGGAAAGAAAUCCAUCUGGUUAAUACCCGGGUGUGAUGACGGUACCCAAAGAAUAAGCACCGGCUAACUUCGUGCCAGCAGCCGCAGUAA
rnacentral:rRNA from 1 species